CUCAUGAAUGCCUUCGUUUUCUGCCUUCUCAACAAAGAAACUUUACAGAAACGCCUGUAAACAACAGGUAAUUGUGAUUCCAAGUUGUUGUGGCAAGUUGACUUUCCAAAGUAAUCAGCUUACCAUAGAAGAUGAGGAAGCUCCCCAGGUGCUGUGGAAACCAGGAUUCUGACAAGAAGUGGCACCUGGUCAUGGGGACUACAGUGAAUAAAUGCAGACCAGAGAAGCCAUGCCAGUAGACAGUGUAAUGAAGGCACCAGGCAUCAAGAAGUGACUGUGGCAAGCAAGAUAUAAGUGGACUGUGUUAUGACCUUCAUCUUCCCAGUCAGCUAUGGGAAGGUCUCUAAUCUUGGAUGAGCAGUUGUAUUUCAAAAGAAGUCUUGUCUCUUUCAAAUUCCAAAAGUGUUUUUCCAAGUUUCUCAUAGCAAGACAACAUCAGGAGGCAGAAGUUUCAAGCAGCUAGCCAACCAGUUCCUUGCAGUAGAGCAUGCCCAACACCAUUUGGAGUCUUCUUCAUAUGCACUCAUUUCCUGACCCUUUUUUUUUUAUAUUUGAGGAGAUUAUAAAGAUUUUAAAAAGGAAAAAGAACAUUCCCUUGCUGGGUAUGAUGGCACACACCUUGGAGUCCCAGCACUGGGUCAGAAGUAAUUGGACCUCUGUGAACUAAAGACUAGCCAGGUCUAUAUAGUCACUUUCCUACCAGAAAUAACCUCUAAAAACAUGCUGAUAAAAUAAAAUAAAUAUUCACCAAGGACAAGGAUAGCAAGAAAAUAAUACAUGAAGAAGAAAAGAAAAAAAUUUGUCUUGGUCUCCGUAAUUUAGAUUUAUGGUGAGUCUGUAUUUUAGUUCCUUGUCAGUCAGCACUAACCCAGGUGGAUUGCUUACUAGACUGAUAUUAUAUGGGGAAAAAUCUAAUCCUUGUCUGUACAAAAUGAAUCUUAUUUGAACUUCUUGGAAAUUAUUUUUACAGAUGAGGGAAUGACCUCAACAAUUUUAAUAGUAUUAGAUUUGCUGUUUUCUGAAAGCAAUUGUUUGGUUUUUUUUUAAACUACCUUCAUAUACAUUUUUUAGACAAGGCCUGGCUAUGUACAGAGCCUACCUAUUCACACCCUUCCUCAGAAUAGUCUCAGGUUUGCGGUAACCCUCCUGGUUCACCUUUGUUUGAUUUGUUGUUUGUUAGACAGAUCAAGCAUUACUGUGCAACUUCAGAUCUUCCCGCCUCAGGAUCCUGGGUAGCUGGAAUUAUAAGUCUGCAUUAGCAAGUCUCUAACGAUUUUGUUAUUAUCUAAAAGUAAAAAUAGCAAAUGGAAAAUCAAAAAGGUGAUGUGACUUGCCCAAAGCAACACAUUAGUCAAUGCAAAGACAAGCCUUAUCCUCAGGUUAGCAACUCCAAAAUCCUGGCCCUCUCUGGUAUGCUCAGAUGCCUCUUUCCUAGUUAGAUGCUCCCUGGGGCAGGGUGGUACAUUUCUCAGUAUGAAUGAAUCUAAUGAUAUUAAUUUAUAUGUAGCCAAUAUUAACAAAUGGGGUUAAGAUGUACAUAGUACACGUGCAAGUACACACACUUGAACACACAUGCACAUGCACACAUACAGGGAUACUUCAAUAAAAACUGGAAAGUCACAAAACUUUUUCACUGUUAUCAUCUACUUAUAUUUCAGAUAGGUAACUUAUGGUAUGUUCUAAACAGACACUUAGAAUGGGUGUGCCUCAGAUGCAGAACUGGAAGCUGAAAGCAAUUAUAUAGACAAUUCACAUUUGAGAGUCAUGAGGAUGGUAACUCUUUCCACAAUUAAUAAAUUGGAUGUUCCAAGUAAUGUGAAUCUGUAUGGGCAGAAACCUGACUGAGUCUUUUCACCAAACAUCUCUGCCAGCCUCCACUGCACCCUGUGUCCCAUAUUCCCCUCUAAGUGACCCAAUGAGGUCAGCUCAAAGAUCACUUGCUUUCAGAGAUGUCUCCUUCCCCCUGUCCUAAAUACCUAUUUGCUUUAGUCAUCUUCAUCUACAAGCCUCCUUCGUUCCAUCAAUGGUUUUUCCCUUUCUGAAGUCAUGAUGACAUGACUUAGAUCUGGAAUCCAACACACAUGUAUUUUUCUCGGUUAUGCUGGUCCUGACUGCUUCAAUGACCCUCCCAUGUUCAGGGCUACCAGUGUGCCAGGUAGCCAUGCUUAGAGCUCUUAGCAAAGCAGCUGUGCAGUAAUCCUGGCAAGGAAAUGGCCACAGGUUCAACCAGAGUCAGGCACUCAAUAAAUGGUUGGCUCCAUUUCGGAAGGGUCUUGAGAUAAUAGUGUAUUAAAUAAUACAUCCAAAGUAGAAAUGACUGGGGUAAGAAAAUCAAUAAACGGUGAUCCCCUAAGAGAAGCUACAGAUGCCUGAACAAGUGGAGAACAAGACCCCAGAGAUAAGUCUGUAACAAAUGAGGCCAGGCUAGUAUACAAAUAUUGCCUGAGCUCAGAUGGAACCUUACAGUACUUAUGGUAAUAAUGAUUUCUUUAGAUUUCUCAUUCAUUCAUUCAUUUGACAGUGUGCUGUAGAUUAUCUACUGUGAUGGUUACCCUUGGUUGUCAACUCUACUAUAUAUGAAAUAAACUAAAACCCAAA
rnacentral:lncRNA from 1 species